AUUGAACGCUGGCGGCAUGCCUUACACAUGCAAGUCGAACGGCAGCACGGGAGCAAUCCUGGUGGCGAGUGGCGAACGGGUGAGUAAUAUAUCGGAACGUGCCCAGUCGUGGGGGAUAACGCAGCGAAAGCUGUGCUAAUACCGCAUACGAUCUAAGGAUGAAAGCGGGGGAUCGCAAGACCUCGCGCGAUUGGAGCGGCCGAUAUCAGAUUAGCUAGUUGGGGGGGUAAAGGCCCACCAAGGCGACGAUCUGUAGCUGGUCUGAGAGGACGACCAGCCACACUGGAACUGAGACACGGUCCAGACUCCUACGGGAGGCAGCAGUGGGGAAUUUUGGACAAUGGGCGCAAGCCUGAUCCAGCAAUGCCGCGUGCAGGAUGAAGGCCUUCGGGUUGUAAACUGCUUUUGUACGGAACGAAACGGCCCUUUCUAAUACAGGGGGCUAAUGACGGUACCGUAAGAAUAAGCACCGGCUAACUACGUGCCAGCCGCCGCAGUAAUAC
rnacentral:rRNA from 1 species